rnacentral:sRNA from 1 species
AAAAAAUUUUAAAAAAAUUACCAGAAAGUCGGGGGCUGCAGCGAUGUUUUAGGGGUUGAGAGCACUAGCUGCCCUUCUAGAGGACUCACAAGACAGUUUCCAACUGUCUGUAACUCAGGGUAUCUGAAACCCUCACAACAGACAUAAAUUAAUCUAAAAAAGAAAGAACCACAUCAACACUUGAACAGCCUGAGCCCAGAACGAAUUUGCCCCCCCCACACAGUAUAUGCAAAUGCCCCACACAAUGCCCCUCAGUUUACACUCCCCAAAGAAAACUGAAACAAUACAGGGAAAGACGUGGCCCAGAAGGAGCAGGAAAACCCAGGAGUGGUGCAGUCACCUGGUAAAGAGCUGUCUAGCACAUACAGAACGUGGAGUGGCUGUACACAGCUAGGAUCCCAGUAUUGAGGAAAUGACUUGGACUUCAAGGUCUCCCUUGACACGCCAGAAGAGGGCCUGAGAUCUCAUUACAGAUGCUUGUGAGCCACCAUGUGUUGGAUUUGAACUUAGGACCUCGGGAAGAGCAGUGCAGUGCUCUUAACCACUAAGCCAUCUCUCCAGCCCUCCCUCUCCCUUGUAAACCAUAGAUUACAUCCCUAAAGCUAGCUACCAAGGUCUUAUGUUCCUUAUGCCAGACUCAUUCCUAAGGCUGAGAACCAGAGCCCCGCAUGCUAGCCCACUAGCACCCUAGGACAUUCUAACACUGACCCGCUCCUUUUUCCUCCUACAAUCACACCUAUAAGGUCACUUGCUUCUGUUUUCUGCCUGAGUCAAAAAGCAUUUACUUUUCUUCCAGGCUUAAUAAAGGCUGUCUCUGUGAGAGCAGGUGUUUGGGUGUAGGUAGUGUCUAAUCCAGGGUCCAGUCCCUUCAGGAAGGACAGGGUAAACUGUGUACCCUACAGCUCGGUAACAUUCAGCAUAAUUAACAAUAACAAAUAGUAUCCUAUAUCAAAAAAAAAAGGGGGGGGGUUACUUUCUACAGAGGUAUCCAUGGGCAAGUUUAAUGCCUUCCGAAUUUUCUUUUUUCUGGAGACUGAUCUUACAAGUUCUACUGGCAAGUCAGAUUAACUCCCGAGAGUCAUCCAAAAAGUCAAGCGGAAACAUUUACUGAAUCUCGGAUGAGUUAAAUAUCUAUAGUAGUCCCUAGAAAGAGUAGAGAAGUCAAUUCCUGUUAAGGUCAAGGAUCUUUUUAAAGGGUGGUUGGAAAAGGCAAUCACAUAUUUUAGGAACCAUUAACUUGGAAGGUCUUUAGCAUAGACAGAAAAGUCAUGUAGACUGAAGAUUUGGGCAAGACAGGGAAAACCUGAAUGGAGUUUGUGGUCCAGAAAUCAUCUUUUCCUACUACACACAGCACUGAUCUAGGCCUUAGUGUGUGGGUCCUAGCAAAAACCCUACCUCCCAACUUUGGGCUAACUGGAACUGAGCAAACUGUUCUUUGAAUGUCGACUGUAUUCUUCAGAGGAGGAAUGGCCAUGUAAUUCUGGGAAGAUUUAGAAUUAAGUCCAGAAACAAUUUAAGAGCUUUGCUUUAGAAAGCUGUGUGUCCUCCAAAGUUCAUGCUGAAAGUUCAUUCGCAGAGGAGGAGUAUGACCAGGAGCUUUUAGGGGGUUAUUAGGCCGCCGUGGGGGGGGAGGGGCACUGCCCUCAGGGCGGGAUUAACAUCCUUCAAAAGGGGUUUGAGGAGUAGGUCUGCUCCUGGCCUUAUCCCUUCUUAUCCUUUUUACUAAUGAAGACACAGACUGUAUUUACCCUCAUUAUGUAUGUGGUGAGGAGGUGCCAUCCCGGAAGCAGAAAGCAGCUGCCAGUCAGGGGACCAUAAUCUGGAACUUCCCGGCAUUUACAGGUGUAAGAAGUAAAUACCUGUUCUUUGGUUGAUCUGUUGACCAGGCUGGCUUCCAAAUCAGUGACAUCCGCCUGCCUCUGCUAGGAUUAAAGGAGUCAAACAACAGAAAAAUAACUUCACGAACUCCCUGAAACUGGACAGAUUCCGCUAGGCCCCUCCCUGCUACAGGGAACAGAGCUCAGCUUCAAAGACUCAGGAAAGAGCUGUCCGGAAGAGACCUGGAUCAGUGGUGGAACCUGGAAAGGAUGCUCUCCAGCCCGCUGAGCUGCCGGCAGGCUGUGCAGUGGGCUCCAGCUUUCCCCAGCUCCUGUGAGCUGUCACCCAUGCUGGGUGAGCCUCGGUGAUGCCUUUGAGUCAUGGCUGCUACUACCGUCAGCAACCGCUUUCGCUACACCGAGGAUUUCAGGGCCGAAAUUGCAAUCCGAGCUGCCCAUCACCAGACAGACAUGUUUGGCACCAAUGUUCAGCAUUUACCUCAUCCCGUCCUUACAGAGCGAGGAGCAAACAACCCUGAAGGAACAAUAAGCAGAUUGUUCUCAUUUCCGGUGUGCCCAUUCCUGCCACAUCGCCGCCAUGGGUUCAACUCAGGCUGUUGUUCCGGAACUUAAAUUCACCCUUUAGAGAAUAGACUGCAGGUUAUUAUGAAGACUUGGUGGAGAAAUGCCAAGGCCUUGGAGGGGUCUUCUCAGUUUCACAAAGCACCUAUCAGAAUCCGCGGGAGUGGAUUUAUUUUGGUUCAUAGUUUCAUAUGAGGCAAAGGCACGGUGGAGUUUCUGGUGUCAAAAAUGUGUGGGCUGGAGAGAUGGCUCAGCGGUUAAGAGCACCCGACUGCUUCUCCAGAGGUCCUGAGUUCAA